rnacentral:rRNA from 1 species
UACGGAGGGGGGCUAGCGUUGUUCGGAAUUACUGGGCGUAAAGCGCGCGUAGGCGGCUUUUGUAAGUUAGAGGUGAAAGCCCAGGGCUCAACCCUGGAAUUGCCUUUAAGACUGCAUCGCUUGAACAUCGGAGAGGUAAGUGGAAUUCCGAGUGUAGAGGUGAAAUUCGUAGAUAUCUGGAGGAACACCGGUGGCGAAGGCGGCAUCCUGGACCGGUAUUGACGCUGAGGCGCGAAAGCGUGGGGAGCAAACAGG